rnacentral:rRNA from 1 species
GAUGAACGCUGGCGGCGUGCCUAAUACAUGCAAGUCGAGCGAACAGACGAGGAGCUUGCUCCUCUGACGUUAGCGGCGGACGGGUGAGUAACACGUGGAUAACCUACCUAUAAGACUGGGAUAACUUCGGGAAACCGGAGCUAAUACCGGAUAAUAUAUUGAACCGCAUGGUUCAAUAGUGAAAGACGGUUUUGCUGUCACUUAUAGAUGGAUCCGCGCCGCAUUAGCUAGUUGGUAAGGUAACGGCUUACCAAGGCAACGAUGCGUAGCGGACCUGUGAGAGUGAUCGGCGACACAGGAGCUGAGAGACGGGCCAGACACCUAUGGGGGGCAACGCUAUGGAAUCUCUCGCGAUGUGGGAAAGCGUGUGAGGGAACAGCCCCGUGAGUGUUAAGGGUGUUUUGAGGUUGUAACUCUCUGAUUUGUGAAAAACAAAUGUGUAAGUAACUAUGUACGUAUCGACGCUACAUAUUCACAAAGGCACGGGUAAAUAUGCG